UUCCAGACUCCUACGGGAGGCAGCAGUGGGGAAUAUUGCACAAUGGGGGAAACCCUGAUGCAGCGACGCCGCGUGAGCGAAGAAGUAUUUCGGUAUGUAAAGCUCUAUCAGCAGGGAAGAAAAUGACGGUACCUGACUAAGAAGCUCCGGCUAAAUACGUGCCAGCAGCCGCGGUAAUACGUAUGGAGCAAGCGUUAUCCGGAUUUACUGGGUGUAAAGGGAGCGCAGGCGGCUUUGCAAGUCUGAUGUGAAAGGCCGGGGCUCAACCCCGGGACUGCAUUGGAAACUGUAAAGCUAGAGUGCCGGAGAGGUAAGCGGAAUUCCUAGUGUAGCGGUGAAAUGCGUAGAUAUUAGGAGGAACACCAGUGGCGAAGGCGGCUUACUGGACGGCAACUGACGCUGAGGCUCGAAAGCGUGGGGAGCAAACAGGAUUAGAUACCCGGGUA
rnacentral:rRNA from 1 species